GAUGAAGAACGUAGCGAAAUGCGAUAAGUAGUGUGAAUUGCAGAAUUCAGUGAGUCAUCGAAUCUUUGAACGCACAUUGCGCCCUUUGGCAUUCCGAAGGGCAUGCCUGUUCGAGCGUCAUUUAUCAACCCUCAAGCCCGGCUUGCGGUUGGGUCCCGCCGUGGGCGACCACGGCGGACCCGAAAGGUAAUGGCGGUGCCCGUGGGGCCCUGGACGCAGCGAGCUUCUCGGCACGCGUCCCGGCGGUCCCCGGCGCCGUCUCCACCAAUCCACCACGCAGAUUGACCUCGGAUCAGGUAGGGAUACCCGCUGAACUUAAGCAUAUCAAUAAGCGGAGGA
rnacentral:misc_RNA from 1 species